rnacentral:rRNA from 1 species
UACGUAGGUGGCAAGCGUUGUCCGGAAUUAUUGGGCGUAAAGCGCGCGCAGGCGGUCCUUUAAGUCAGCUGUGAAAGCCCCGGGCUCAACCUGGGAAUUGCGGUUGAAACUGGCGGACUAGAAUCUGGCAGAGGGGGGUGGAAUUCCACGUGUAGCAGUGAAAUGCGUAGAGAUGUGGAGGAACACCGAUGGCGAAGGCAGCCCCCUGGGCUGAGAUUGACGCUCAGGCACGAAAGCGUGGGGAGCAAACAGG